CACACGCAGAUGAUGUCACGCACUUGAUCUGCAGUUGGGGGGUUGGGGAGGGGGUCCACACUUUUUCGACUCACCACACGCACCAACCGACUCCUUCACUCCUCCAUCAUCGUGAUUCUUCUCCGGCUGCUCCUGGUUUUCACUACCUGCUCUUGGCGGGGUCCACGCCGACUUGGACUUCACAGCGGCCGAAAGGAUCCCACGUCAGGGACGAGCCGGGUGACGCCUUCCGGUCGCUGGAUGGCGCAGUGGGCGGAGCUUGAGUCCCCCCAGCAGGAUGUUUGCGCUGUAGCGAGUCAAAGUGCGCGGCCCACAGCUCGUGAUCUUCGUUCUGCACGGAUAACCAAUUUUGAUAUCCAGAUGGGAAACUGACAGGCGACAGAAGUAAAGGAUGGCACAGCACAAAGCAGGUGAAGAAAAUAAUACAGUCCAGAUCGAAUGAUGACAGAGGCACGUUACCUGUCGUCUUUCUGAGCCACCAUGUUGACUGGACGCGCCGUGCUCCUCUGUUACGGGACGGUCCUGGCUCGCGGUCUGGAAUCCGUGGCAUAUGCGAAGUGUCGUCACGGCUCUCGGUCCUUGGUCUUCCGGCGGGUCCGUCGAUCCCG